rnacentral:rRNA from 1 species
UACGUAGGGGGCAAGCGUUGUCCGGAGUUACUGGGCGUAAAGCGCACGCAGGCGGUCUCUUAAGUUUGGAGUGACAGUUGGUGGCUUAACUGCCAAAGUGCUUCGAAAACUGAGAGACUUGAGGGCUUCAGAGGGACACGGAAUUCCGGGUGGAGUGGUGAAAUGCGUAGAGAUCCGGAGGAACACCAAAGGCGAAGGCAGUGUCCUGGGGAGUACCUGACGCUCAGGUGCGAAAGCCAGGGGAGUGAACGGG